CUGGGAGAGAGUACCGAGGCUGCCACAUCCAUGGCGAUGUUCAGGUGCGGCUCUCUCAUUUUCAGAAACAAAUCAAAAGAGGAGCUGAAUCAGUCGACGCAUCUAGACACAGGAUUUGGAGAGAUGCAACUUUUUAAGUGGAUCAAAAUGGUCCUCAAAAGUUUGACCCAAAGGGUGCCUUCUUUCUAACGACCGGUGGACGUUGGUCACACGAGCACACUCAACAAUAAGUUCCACAUCCCGCGGAGACCAAAGACACCAACGAACUGAUUGAGAACCCUUCUCUAUGUGAUUGUAGAGAUUCAACGGUCCUUACACCUAGAGUUUUGCUUGAGUUAGAGUAUGAUAACAACAGUGAAGUAAGUGCAUGUUUGUUUCUCUUGAUCCUUGUAAUUGCCUCUGCCUAAAAUUAAUAAUAUGUCAUCCUUUGAAA
rnacentral:lncRNA from 7 species